ACCUGCCCUGGAGAGUUGGACAACUGUGGAAACACAGCUAAUCCGACAUAAUCUGGUACUAAUGAGAAAGGUAUCGGGAAAGGUUUACCGCUCUAGGAGGGGGGCGCGGCCCAUCAGCUAGUUGGUAGGGUAAAGGCCUACCAAGGCAAGGACGGGUAGCCGGCCUGAGAGGGUGAUCGGCCACAAUGGAACUGAGACACGGUCCAUACCCCUACGGGGGGCAGCAGUCGGGAAUAUUGCACAAUGGAGGAAACUCUGAUGCAGCAACUUCGCGUGUAGGAUGAAGCUUUACGGAGUGUAAACUACUUUUCUGGGGGAAGACAACUGACGGUACCUCAGGAAUAAGGGACGGCUAACUACGUGCCAGCAGCCGCGGUAAUACGUAGGUCCCGAGUGUUAUCCGGAGUUACUGGGCGUAAAGAGUCCGUAGCCGGUUUAAUAAGUCUACUUUCAAAGACUGGAGCUCAACUGCAGGAAGGGGGUAGAUACUGCUAGACUAGAGGAAGAUGGAGGUUAGUGGAAUUUCCGGUGGAGGGGUGGAAUCUGUUGAUAUCGGAAGGAAUGCCGAAAGCGAAAGCAGCUAACUAUGUCUAACCUGACGGUGAAGGACGAAAGCUUGGGUAGCGAACGGGAUUAGAUACCCCGGUAGUCCAAGCUGUAAACGAUGUUCGCUAGGUGUUGGUCUGAAUGGAUCAGUGCUGGAACCUAACGGGUUAAGCGAACCGCCUGGGGAGUAUAGCCGCAAGGCUGAAACUCAAAGGGAUAGGCGGGGGAACACACAAGCGGUGGAUUGCCUCGAUUAAUUGGACAUUAAGCCAAGAAUCUUACCUAGGUUUGACAUAUAGUGUGUCACAACUGAAAGGUUGUUAUCAUAGCUUGCUAUGAGCGCUAUACAGGUGCUGCAUGGCCGUCGUCAGCUCGUGCCGCAAGGUGUCUGGUUAAGUCCAGAAACGAGCGCAACCCUCAUAUUUAGUUAGAAUGUCUAGAUAGACUGCUGGGGCAACCCGGAGGAAGGAGGGGAUUACGUCAGGUCAUUAAGGCGACUAAAUAUAGGGCGUCAGAGGCAAUACAAUGGCUGAUACAGAAGGAAGCGAGAUCGCGAGAUGGAGCGAAACUCUGAAAGCCAUCCAAAGUUCCGGAUUGUAGUCUGGAACUCGACUACAUGAAGU
rnacentral:rRNA from 1 species